rnacentral:lncRNA from 1 species
AUUCGCAAAUUAUAAAAUUACUGAACAUAAUAUCUACAGCCUUGUGUACCCCGAAUUGGGGUUCACCUGCUUGCUUAGCGCUCUGCCCUACUGCCUGCUACUAGCGUCGGUCACUCCGGUUCCAGUCGUGUACCACGGGAGUGGUUGCAUGACCCUUUUGCCUGCUGCAGUUUACCUACGGGUGCUACCUACUGCUUGCUGCUGUAGCAAGAAGAGUGCACGCUACUGCACUCAGCGCCGCGCACCAGGAACCCAAGGCCAGUGUAUUCAAUCGGUGGAGAAUGUGUUUUGGACAAUGGAUGUUCUAAUACCCCGACCCCUUAUAGAAUAAGUGUCUUAUAUAAUAUUUUGUUUACCUUUAUUACAUAUAUUUUGUUAGCUUU